GGUGAUUGAGAUGUUGGGGAAGGAGUGUUUGGAGGUGACGGAAUGUAGGGAGGUUGGGAAAUGGGAGAAGGAGUGGUGGAUGGUGGUGUGGAAAUGUAAGAAGGUGGCUGGGAUAUUGGGGAAGGAGUGGUGGAUGGUGGUGUGGAAAUGUAAGGUGGCUGGGAUAUUGGGGAAGGAGUGGUGUUUGGAGGUGAUGGGAUGUAAGGAGGCUGAGAUAUUGGGGAAGGAGUGUUUGGAGGUGAUGGGGUGUAAGGAG
rnacentral:lncRNA from 1 species